CCAUUGGUGGUUCAGUGGUAGAAUUCUCGCCUUCCACGUUGGAGACCCGGGUUCAAUUCCUGGCCAAUGCA
rnacentral:tRNA from 1 species